AGUGAACGCUGGCGGUAGGCCUAACACAUGCAAGUCGAACGGCAGCACAGUAAGAGCUUGCUCUUACGGGUGGCGAGUGGCGGACGGGUGAGGAAUACAUCGGAAUCUACUUUUUCGUGGGGGAUAACGUAGGGAAACUUACGCUAAUACCGCAUACGACCUACGGCUGAAAGCAGGGGAUCUUCGGACCUUGCGCGAUUGAAUGAGCCGAUGUCGGAUUAUCUAGUUGGCGGGGUAAAGGCCCACCAAGGCGACGAUCCGUAGCUGGUCUGAGAGGAUGAUCAGCAAAACUGGAACUGAGACACGGUCCAGACUCCUACGGGAGGCAGCAGUGGGGAAUAUGGGACAAUGGGCGCAAGCCUGAUCCAGCCAUACGGCGUGGGUGAAGAAGGCCUUCGGGUGGUAAAGCCCUUUUGUUGGGAAAGAAAAGCAGCAGGUUAAUACCCCGCUGUUCUGACGGUACCCAAAGAAUAAGCACCGGCUAACUUCGU
rnacentral:rRNA from 1 species